GACGAACGCUGGCGGCGUGCUUAACACAUGCAAGUCGAACGGAAAGGCCCCUUUGGGGGUACUCGAGUGGCGAACGGGUGAGUAACACGUGAGUAACCUGCCCUUGACUUCGGGAUAACUUCAGGAAACUGGGGCUAAUACCGGAUAGGAAUCCUUGCUGCAUGGGGGGGGUUGGAAAGCUUCGGGGGUUUUGGAUGGACUCGCGGCUUAUCGGCUUGUUGGUGGGGUAGUGGCUUACCAAGGCUUUGACGGGUAGCCGGCCUGAGGGGGCGACCGGCCACAUUGGGACCGAGAGACGGCCCAGACUCCUACGGGAGGCAGCAGUGGGGAAGAUUGCACAAGGGGCGGAAGCCUGAUGCAGCAACGCCGCGUGCGGGAUGACGGCCUUCGGGUUGUAAACCGCUUUCAGCAGGGGCGAAGCUUGUGGUGACGGUACCUGCAGAAGAAGCACCGGCUAACUACGUG
rnacentral:rRNA from 1 species